CUACUCUUGACAUCCAGAGAACUUUCCAGAGAUGGAUUGGUGCCUUCGGGAACUCUGAGACAGGUGCUGCAUGGCUGUCGUCAGCUCGUGUUGUGAAAUGUUGGGUUAAGUCCCGCAACGAGCGCAACCCUUAUCCUUUGUUGCCAGCGGUUAGGCCGGGAACUCAAAGGAGACUGCCAGUGAUAAACUGGAGGAAGGUGGGGAUGACGUCAAGUCAUCAUGGCCCUUACGAGUAGGGCUACACACGUGCUACAAUGGCGCAUACAAAGAGAAGCGACCUCGCGAGAGCAAGCGGACCUCAUAAAGUGCGUCGUAGUCCGGAUUGGAGUCUGCAACUCGACUCCAUGAAGUCGGAAUCGCUAGUAAUCGUAGAUCAGAAUGCUGCGGUGAAUACGUUCCC
rnacentral:rRNA from 1 species